rnacentral:rRNA from 1 species
UACGUAGGGUGCAAACGUUGUCCGGAAUUAUUGGGCGUAAAGAGCUCGUAGGCGGUUUGUUGCGUCGGCUGUGAAAACCUGAGGCUCAACCUCAGGCCUGCAGUCGAUACGAGCAGACUAGAGUGUUGCAGGGGAGACUGGAAUUCCUGGUGUAGCGGUGAAAUGCGCAGAUAUCAGGAGGAACACCGAUGGCGAAGGCAGGUCUCUGGGCAUUAACUGACGCUGAGGAGCGAAAGCAUGGGGAGCGAACAGG